rnacentral:rRNA from 1 species
GUCCUACGGGACGCAGCAGUGAGGAAUAUUGGUCAAUGGUCGGGAGACUGAACCAGCCAAGCCGCGUGAGGGAUGAAGGUACAGAGUAUCGUAAACCUCUUUUGUCAGGGAACAAAGGCGGGGACGUGUCCCCGGAUGAGUGUACCUGAAGAAAAAGCAUCGGCUAACUCCGUGCCAGCAGCCGCGGUAAUACGGAGGAUGCGAGCGUUAUCCGGAUUUAUUGGGUUUAAAGGGUGCGUAGGCGGAAGGUUAAGUCAGCGGUCAAAUGUCGGUGCUCAACACCGGCCUGCCGUUGAAACUGGUCU